ACAAGGCUGCCUCCGUCACCACCGUCAGCCCCAGAGCUGGUUGGCUGACGCUGGUGUAGUCAGUGACGUAUCCAACCCAAAAGGGCGCAGUCGUCGUAUUCCGUGAAUAAAGAAAUAACGAGUUCGGGCUUUUAAACAUCUCUGUUUGUGCGUGCGGCAUAUGAGGUGUAUUCUGCGCAUAGACUGUGGUUCUACGACUCUAAAAGAUUAUGAUCGUUUCCUAAAUGUUACAUAUCAUAUAAUAAGUGGAAGUGGAAGAGGAAGAGGAAAUUGUGAGACAAGUUAGGAAGAAGAUAAUGCCCAACAAACUGCAGUUCAAUCAUCAGAAGAACAAGAAGAGGAAGAACAAAAAGGAGUCUCAAACUAAAGGGUCAAGAGAUACAAACACAGUGAAACCUGUGAGAUGCAACAGCAUGGAGCGUCUUUCACCCACGUUGUCUGGUGAUCAAGCUGUAGAGUCUCAUUCUAAUGAAUCAGAGAAGGUCCAGGAUGAGAGAACACCAGGACCUUAAACUCCAGAAUGUGAUGGGGGUUCAUUCACCAUCCUGGAUAACUUUCCUCAGUUGUCCAGGAUAUUCAGACCGUCCUCCAUGGCUGCGCAUUUGGAGCUGCAUUUGUGUUCCUCUAGCAAACAUACUGCACAUUUGAAUUAUCUUAUGUUUAUAUAUUAAAUAAUUAUAUAUAAUAGAAAUUAUAUGAAUAAAAAUAUACAUGUAUUUACAUGUAAAUAUUUUCAAAAUAUAUACUGUAUGCGUUUGUAUUU
rnacentral:lncRNA from 1 species